ACCAUUCCUCCAUAUUCUUCCCACCACAAGCUUUUCUCAAAUCCCUCCACCAAAUUGACUCCCCACUCAACUCACUCUCCCUCAAUAAACCUGUACGGCCUUCAUAUUUUGAAUCUAACAUGUCCUUCCAAAGCCCAUGCCCUUGAUGAAAAAGAAACUACCUCCAUUUUCCCAACAAAGCAACAUUAAAGAGAUUAAAGUUUUUCUCUCCUAGCCCUCUCAUACCUGAUUGUGUAUAGUGGGGAGACGAUUGUAACCCUAAAGUGAGAGCAACACACCCGAUUGUGGAACUCGAUGAGUAUUUUCAGCCAUGUGGUUGGUUGAAAGCGCAAGGCUUCCAAUAGUUGUUGAAGGGCAUUUGCGGCUAGUGGGUCGGUUGAAAAGGAAUCGCCAAUCCUUGUUGCAAAUGAAUGGGAUUGAAAUGUUUUUUAAAGAAACAAAAGUGGAAGUUCGACUUUUAGUAUCUGGGGCUUCAUCAACGGAUAGUCAUUGGAACCCCUGUUUGAAACACGUAUGGUCUUCAAACACUGGGUUGUUGUAACCGUGGAGUAGACCGGGGCCAUAAGCGUAAGAGAAGGUGAAGGUCAUAAAAAAGGUAGUGGGUUGUUUAUUCUUAUUGAAUUUAAUUCAUUAAUUGAUUAAGACUAUUGCGAGGUUUGUAAAUCAAUUUGCACUUGUGAUAGAAAUUUUUGUAUUUACAAUACAAUCUGACCAUUCAUUCAUACAAUGUUGGAGUUGAUGAUUGUAAGUUUAUUAUUUUGUUUUGUUUCAUUCGAAAAAUUUUCCUUAAUAAAUCAAAUGUAAGUAUGACAAUGAAUAAAAUUGUAUAUUCAGUUGUUAAUGAAGCAUUAAA